GACGAACGCUGGCGGCGUGCUUAACACAUGCAAGUCGAACGGUAAGGCCCUUCGGGGUACACGAGUGGCGAACGGGUGAGUAACACGUGGGUGAUCUGCCCUGCACUUCGGGAUAAGCCUGGGAAACUGGGUCUAAUACAGGAGAGGACCACUGCCUGCAUGGGUGGUGGUGGGAAGCUUUUGCGGUGUGGGAUGGGCCGGCGGUCUAUCCGCGUGUUGGUGGGGUGAUGGACUAACAAGGCGACGAGGGGUAGCCGGACUGAGAGGGUGACCGGCCACACUGGGACUGAGAUACGGCCCAGACUCCUACGGGAGGCAGCAGUGGGGAAUAUUGCACAAUGGGCGCAAGCCUGAUGCAGCGACGCCGCGUGAGGGAUGACGGCCGUCGGGUUGUAAACCUCUUUCAGCACCGACGAAGCGCAAGUGAAGGUAGGUGCAGAAGAAGGACCGGCCAACUACGUGCCAGCCGCCGCAGUAA
rnacentral:rRNA from 1 species